rnacentral:rRNA from 1 species
CCCUUAGAUGUUCUGAGCAGCACGCGCGCUACAAUGGUCUUCGCAAACGGAUGCAUUCUCGAAGGAGAAUGCCAAUCUUGGAAUCUAUGCCUUGGUCGGGACAGUUGCUUGCAAUUUUUCGACUCGAACCAGGAAUUCCUUGUAAUCGUGAUUCAUCACAUCACGAUGAAUACGUCCCUGCCCUUUGUACACACCGCCCGUCGCUCCUACCGAUCGAAGAGUUAGGUGAAUUGUUUUGAUCGAUAAGAUUUGACUAUGGUCAACUCUCGUUGUGAAAUUCUGUGAAUCUGACUGUUUAGAGGAAGGAAAAGUCGUAACA